rnacentral:sRNA from 1 species
AAUGUAAAGUUUUUCCAGUGAAACAAAACGUAAGAAUCUGAGUUUGUUUUUCAAAGAUCACUAAAUUUUAGUUAUGAUUAUAUCACAUUUUCCAAAAUGUGUGGCAGUUUUUGCCCUCCUUGCCCUGAGUGUUGGUGCACUGGACACUUUUAUUGCUGCAGUAUAUGAGCAUGCGGUGAUAUUACCAAACAGAACAGAAACACCUGUUUCAAAAGAAGAAGCUUUGCUCCUGAUGAACAAGAACAUAGAUGUUUUGGAGAAAGCAGUUAAGCUGGCAGCGAAGCAGGGUGCACAUAUCAUUGUGACCCCAGAAGAUGGAAUCUAUGGUUGGAUCUUCACCAGGGAGAGCAUUUACCCCUAUCUAGAGGAUAUACCAGACCCUGGAGUGAACUGGAUUCCAUGUAGAGACCCCUGGAGGUAAUAUCAUAUCAUUAAUUUCUAAACAAAAAGUUGUGAUUUGGUAAAACACCAACAGUAAACUCACUGAACUUGACUGGUAAUUGUGUUGAUAAAUAGUCAAUCUGUGGCAUAGGAUGUAGGUGCUUUUUUUUCCCUGUAAUUUCAACUUUUAGUUUAGAUUGAGGGAGUACAUGUGCAGGUUUGUUACAUGGGCAAAUUGCAUGACGCUGAGGAUUGGGGUACAAUGAUUGCACCACCCAGCAUAGUAUCCAACAGGAAGGUUUUCAGCCCUUGCCUUCCUCUCUCUCUCUCCCCUCUAUUAGUUCCCAGUGUCUAUUGCUGUCAUCUUUAUGGCCAUGAGUUCCCAAUGCUUAGCUCCCCCUUAUAAGUGAGAACAUGCAGUAUUUGGUUUUCUGUUCCUGUGUUAACUUGUUGAGGAUAAUGUCCUUUGUUGCUGCAAAAGACAUGAUUUUGUUCCUUCUUGUGGGCACCUAGGUUAAUUCCAUAUCUUUGCUGUUGUGAAAAGUGCUGCAAUGAACAUACAAGUGCACGAGUCUUUUUGGUAGAAUGAUUUCCUUUCCUUUGGGUAUAUACCUAGUAAUGGGAUUGUGAGUCGAAUGGUUGCUGUGUUUUAAGU